UGUAAAUGAUUUUGAGAAAUGGCAAGCCAUUUGAAGAGCUCAGUCACCACUGCAGAAAACCACAACAAAAAAUUUACCACAGUUCUCAAUUCUUAAACUUGGGAUAGAUUUUCUCUUUUUUGUUGUUUUUUGGAAGGUAAGGGUCUAUAUCUUCCUGCCUCCAUCUGUGGUAUCUAAUGAGAACUCUAAACUAUUGUAAUACUUGGCUUCAGCAC